rnacentral:lncRNA from 1 species
AGAACUGAAGGAUCCGCGCUUCCUUGCACCCAGAACUUAAUGGAGCGUCUGCAGGGAACUUUGCUUUUGCGUGGAACGUCUGAACGUAUUUACAAUCCAGACCUGGUCUGCCCAGUAAGGCAGCCACUAGCCAACGACCAUAUUUCCCUUUAAAUGCUGAAAAUUUAGUGUGGAAUUGAUAUGUACUGUAUGCAUAAACCACACGCUGGAUGUCUAAGACUGGUGAGGUAAAAUCUCAAUAAUUUUUAUAUGUUGAAAUGAUAUUUUGGAUAUAUUGGGUU